UACGAAGGGGGGCUAGCGUUGUUCGGAAUCACUGGGCGUAAAGCGCACGUAGGCGGACUUUCAAGUCAGGGGGUGAAAUCCCGGGGCUCAACCUCGGAAUUGCCUUUGAUACUGUAGGUCUCGAGUCCGGAAGAGGUGGGUGGAAUUCCUAGUGUAGAGGUGAAAUGCGUAGAUAUCGAGAGGAACACCAGUGGCGAAGGCGAGUCCCUGGACAACUUCUGACGCUGAGGCACGAAAGCUAGGGGAGCAAACAGG
rnacentral:rRNA from 1 species